UACGAAGGGGGCUAGCGUUGCUCGGAAUCACUGGGCGUAAAGCGCACGUAGGCGGAUUGUUAAGUCAGGGGUGAAAUCCUGGAGCUCAACUCCAGAACUGCCUUUGAUACUGGCGAUCUUGAGUCCGGGAGAGGUCGAGUGGAACUGCGAGUGUAGAGGUGAAAUUCGUAGAUAUUCGCAAGAACACCAGUGGCGAAGGCGG
rnacentral:rRNA from 1 species